UAUCAUUGGCACAACUGGGCAAACCCGUAUGUGGACUCACCUUGAGCGUCAAGCUGAAGGACAGGUCAAGGGUAUGGGUGAAAAACAAAUUGAAGUAGACGAGAAAAUUUUACGUACUCAACCUUUCAAUUGCUAGAAAUGAAGAAGCAAUGACAAAAUACUAUAGAGAGCAUGACAAAGCAUUCGGAACAGUAACUACAACAGAAUAAUUCGAUGGUCAAGGUACAAAAAGCGGCAGAUAGUAACAAAAAUCGAGUAAUUGAUCUUGAAAGUAGCUGUGUGAAACCUUUUAACCAGUGACCGCGAAGGAGGUGGUUGCAGAGGACAAGUCUUCGUCUGCAACUAUCUAAAGAAAGUGCAGCGGAGUAAGAAACUACGACAAAGAAAAGAAAAUUAGAAGCUAAAAGAUCACAUGAACCUGAGGUUAAAAAAGGGGUAAUGGUUUCCCUUUUGUUUCAUCAUUCAGUCUGAAAUUUAUUGGUUCGACUAAUUCAGAUUCACAUCGAAAGAUCCAUUAAAGAAGUUUUUCAUUUCAAGGGCUCAAAUUCAAAACUUCUAAUAAACAGGGAAGGAUAUCAAUAUGAUGCCUUUGGGAUUU